GUGCAAUGCAAGUUGAUGUGGCGCCUGCGCAUUGACGCUCCAUUAUGGACCUGCAGUGGUAACACAUCCUGCGCACAUUUGAGGCCGUGGAGAUGACGCUGGGCGACGGUGGUGGGUUGUUCUGCCACCAAACCUGCUGCCGCGCUGGUCAACGGCGGUGCCUUCGGCAGAGUCUGAUUGUGGCAGCAGCGGUAGUCCUUCUGACGUCAGCUGCCGCCUACCUCGGCUCGGAUAGGCCGGACCAAUCAACGACAGGUCUCGCCGCGUCCGACGAAUCACCGGGGCCGGAACC